rnacentral:rRNA from 1 species
AGAGUUUGAUCAUGGCUCAGAUUGAACGCUGGCGGCAGGCCUAACACAUGCAAGUCGAACGGUAACAGGAAGAAGCUUGCUUCUUUGCUGACGAGUGGCGGACGGGUGAGUAAUGUCUGGGAAACUGCCUGAUGGAGGGGGAUAACUACUGGAAACGGUAGCUAAUACCGCAUAACGUCGCAAGACCAAAGAGGGGGACCUUCGGGCCUCUUGCCAUCGGAUGUGCCCAGAUGGGAUUAGCUAGUAGGUGGGGUAACGGCUCACCUAGGCGACGAUCCCUAGCUGGUCUGAGAGGAUGACCAGCCACACUGGAACUGAGACACGGUCCAGACUCCUACGGGAGGCAGCAGUGGGGAAUAUUGCACAAUGGGCGCAAGCCUGAUGCAGCCAUGCCGCGUGUAUGAAGAAGGCCUUCGGGUUGUAAAGUACUUUCAGCGGGGAGGAAGGGAGUAAAGUUAAUACCUUUGCUCAUUGACGUUACCCGCAGAAGAAGCACCGGCUAACUCCGUGCCAGCAGCCGCGGUAAUACGGAGGGUGCAAGCGUUAAUCGGAAUUACUGGGCGUAAAGCGCACGCAGGCGGUUUGUUAAGUCAGAUGUGAAAUCCCCGGGCUCAACCUGGGAACUGCAUCUGAUACUGGCAAGCUUGAGUCUCGUAGAGGGGGGUAGAAUUCCAGGUGUAGCGGUGAAAUGCGUAGAGAUCUGGAGGAAUACCGGUGGCGAAGGCGGCCCCCUGGACGAAGACUGACGCUCAGGUGCGAAAGCGUGGGGAGCAAACAGGAUUAGAUACCCUGGUAGUCCACGCCGUAAACGAUGAGUGCUAGGUGUUGGAUCCUUUCCGGGAUUCAGUGCCGCAGCUAACGCAUUAAGCACUCCGCCUGGGGAGUACGACCGCAAGGUUGAAACUCAAAGGAAUUGACGGGGGCCCGCACAAGCGGUGGAGCAUGUGGUUUAAUUCGAUGCAACGCGAAGAACCUUACCUGGUCUUGACAUCCACGGAAGUUUUCAGAGAUGAGAAUGUGCCUUCGGGAACCGUGAGACAGGUGCUGCAUGGCUGUCGUCAGCUCGUGUUGUGAAAUGUUGGGUUAAGUCCCGCAACGAGCGCAACCCUUAUCCUUUGUUGCCAGCGGUCCGGCCGGGAACUCAAAGGAGACUGCCAGUGAUAAACUGGAGGAAGGUGGGGAUGACGUCAAGUCAUCAUGGCCCUUACGACCAGGGCUACACACGUGCUACAAUGGCGCAUACAAAGAGAAGCGACCUCGCGAGAGCAAGCGGACCUCAUAAAGUGCGUCGUAGUCCGGAUUGGAGUCUGCAACUCGACUCCAUGAAGUCGGAAUCGCUAGUAAUCGUGGAUCAGAAUGCCACGGUGAAUACGUUCCCGGGCCUUGUACACACCGCCCGUCACACCAUGGGAGUGGGUUGCAAAAGAAGUAGGUAGCUUAACCUUCGGGAGGGCGCUUACCACUUUGUGAUUCAUGACUGGGGUGAAGUCGUAACAAGGUAACCGUAGGGGAACCUGCGGUUG